GGGUCCUACUGGGGUCCUACUGGACCAGACCGCUUGGGGCGGGGUCCUACUGGGGUCCUACUGGACCAGACCGGGUCCUACUGGACCAGACCGGGGUCCUACUGGACCAGACCGCCUUACGUUGACAUUGAGAGCGUUGACACUCUUUCAUCCAAAGCGACUCACAAUAGAACAUUUGUCAGAAGAAAGAGAAACAACAGUAUAUCUGUCGGUAUAGUAAGGGUGUUCAUAGAACCGAGUGCCAAUCACUAGGGUAACCCAUUCACGUGCACAACAAGGAUAGUUAUGGUAAGAUGCUCCACGAUGCUAAGUACUAUUUUUAAGUGCAAGGACGUACAGCAUACAAUAAAUAAGUGCGUACAUUAAGUGUACAUUAAGUACACUUCCGCUGGAGACGUCGUUGGGUUUGUCUUCGGCAGAGCGUGUAUUUCGGUUUAGCUAAAGUAAAUAACUAAAGUGUGUUUAGAGGACGACGGUGACCUUUACUGUGUUUGUUUGUAGACGAUGAUGAGGCCGGUCCCACGGGGGACGGGGACGACGACGAUGAUGACGAUGAUGAGGAUGACGAGGGGUCAGACGGCGACGACGUCGGCCUGUCUUACCUGAUGAAGGACGGCAUUCAGGUGAGUGGCCGAGCAUCGCUGUGCCGCGAUUGGCCCCUUAGGGGGACAGGAAGUGAUGUCAUGGGGCCGACCAGUAGAUUGAUCCUGGGCUGUGUCUGAUUUUUAAUCGAGACGGAAAAUAGCGAUGUAACGAUCACUACCAAUAUGCAAAUGUGUUCUACUAUUUCAUUAGUUUGUGACAAGAAGUCGUGAUACUUUCCUUCGGUCUGAACUCCAGCCGUGACACAAGAGGCUGAUCAGUGGUCAGUUUUUGUCUUCAGAGCGUGAUGGUAAAGUUAACCCUCUGAUGUGUCUCUGCCCCGAUCCCAGGACGAAGAGGACGAUGACGACUACGUUGAGGAGGAUGAUGAUGAUGAGGAUGGAGCAGCAGCUGCAGCGGGGGUGCCGGCGGGGGAGAAGAGGAAGAGGGCCCCCGAGGACGAGGGCGAGGAUGACGACGACGAUGACGACGAUGACGAAUAGAUCCAGCAGGGGGCGCUGCUGGUCCUAUAAUUAUCUAGAUGUUACCAUAGAAACUGACCAGGGUUUUCCCACAACGUUUGUCUACAACAUGUUGUUUUUUUUAAUCAUUUGUGUGUGUGUGUGUGUGCGUGUGUGUGUGAGUGUGUGUGGGCGUGUUUGUGUGCGUGCGUGUGGAGCUACAGACACUGGGGGUUCUGAAACUGGAACUUUUACGCCACGUUUACACCGGUGCAACCAGUCAGGACACCGGUGGAACCCAAUCUCUUACUGGUUUACAAGAAAAAUCACAUCCUUCAGGUGACCCAGAUACUUCAAACCGGAGGCACAGAUUCACGUCUGAUUGGACCGUAAAACGUUCUCCAUCCCACCUAGGCCUGUCAAUCUGUCCGACUCUGAGUUCCUCGGCCGAACCCGCCCCCCACGGCGGGCAGAUUUCCGUUCAGAGUUCAGCAUUAACCCAAUCGCCUCCGACUCGUCCCUCCCUGUCCUCCACGUUUUGGGUCCCAGCCCCGUCUAGCUCGCGUUGAGUUCCAGCCCCCCUCCGUGCCCUCCACCGUUCAGGUUCCAGAUACUUCCACCGCUUCAUAGACGACCUGUAAAUAGAGUUCUCUCCUUGUCAGUUAUUCUUGAUUUGCUCCCGUGUGUUUCCUGCCUCCUUUACACCGGGCCGUGGGCUAACGGAAACUUAGUCUUUCAAAGGGUUCUUUUAUUUUUUUAUUUUCUUGCCUUCAGAUCAUGUCAUGUCUGAGGUUUGUGUGUUGUAACCUUCUGGCAAGUGUUUUGGAAUAAAAAUCUAAAUGUUCGUCUUUGUUUGGUAUCGUAAAUGGGUGGCUUUUGGCAUCUUGUAUCUAAAAUGCUGGCCUGUUGCUGAAAAUUAUGUGUAUCCAAGUUCACUAAAAGUUGCUUUGGAUAGAAGCAUAUUCUAAAUUUAUUAUUAACAAUCAAGUGUGGUUUUAUCAAUAGCUAAAGAUUUAAGGCAAACCAAAGUAGAUAAGAGUCUGAGAAGUUUUCUUUCCUCAGCCGGUAUUUAAUCCGGUUGUGAGCUACUUAGGAUGUUAAGAUGACCAAUUUCCAGAGUGACCGCUAGGCGGCAGUGUAGACACGUACUUUUCGGGUAUAAAACAAUGGAACGGAGUUAUUAAUUAUUAUGAGGUUCCCACGGCAGGUACUUAUGAGGCAUUUAAGUUUGAGUUUUUGUCAAAGAUCCUUAUAACAUUUUAUGAUAUUUUGUUUUUGCUAUUAUUCCUGAUGUAUCGUCCCUGAGUUGUUUCUCGGAAAUCCUACCGAUCCUGGUUCUCUCUAUUAUAAAAUGGAUUUAAAAAAACGUUAAACUGUUUUAAUGAACAGGUCCCCCCACGGAGGUGUGCGCUUGUGAGCAAGAGGGAAAGAGGUGUGUGCAAGAAAACAAACGUCCA
ensembl:lncRNA